UAAAUUGAGAGUUUGAUCCUGGCUCAGGACGAACGCUGGCGGCGUGCCUAACACAUGCAAGUCGAGCGAUGAAGUCCCUUCGGGGAUGGAUUAGCGGCGGACGGGUGAGUAACACGUGGGCAACCUGCCUCAAAGUGGGGGAUAGCCCUCCGAAAGGAGGAUUAAUACCGCAUAACAUUAGUUUUCCGCAUGAAAAACUAAUCAAAGGAGUAAUCCGCUUUGAGAUGGGCCCGCGGUGCAUUAGCUAGUUGGUGAGGUAACAGCUCACCAAGGCCACGAUGCAUAGCCGA
rnacentral:ncRNA from 1 species